rnacentral:piRNA from 1 species
UCCCCNGAGUGCGUGCCGGCCAGAGGGCUC